rnacentral:rRNA from 1 species
ACCUUCAGGGGUAAACCUGAGAAACCCAAAAGAUCGAAUGGGGAGAUUCAUCGUCAGCGACGCUGGCCUCUCCGCGGUUCGUGAUGUUGCGCGCGGUCGGUUUAUCCGAUCGCGCGGCACUCGACCGAUGUGUUAGGUCCGGCGGUGUCGGCGUGCACUUCUCCCCUAGUAGGACGUCGCGACCCGUCGGGUGUCGGUCUACGGUCCGAGUGGUUGCCUGUCUCGGCGCUUCGGCGCACGGGACAGACCCUCGGUCGCCCGGCCGGCUGCUCGGCGGUACUCUACGGUAUCGGGCCGCAUACUCGAACUGCGUCAGGCCCGCCGCAAGCGCGGUCAGCUUUCCACCGGACAGUACGGACCCAGUGCCGUCGCCGGGUCUGGCCAGCUGUUGGCAGGCGGUGCCCUAUGACUGGCCAAAUCGAACGUGAAUACCGGUCGGCGACGCUACUGCUUUGGUACUCUCAGGA